rnacentral:rRNA from 1 species
UACGUAGGGGGCGAGCGUUAUCCGGAUUUACUAGGUGUAAAGGGAGCGUAGACGGUUCUGCAAGUCUGAAGUGAAAGCCCGUGGCUUAACCGCGGAACGGCUUUGGAAACUGUGGAACUGGAGUGCUGGAGAGGCAAGCGGAAUUCCUAGUGUAGCGGUGAAAUGCGUAGAUAUUAGGAGGAACACCAGUGGCGAAGGCGGCUUGCUGGACAGUAACUGACGUUGAGGCUCGAAAGCGUGGGGAGCAAACAGG